rnacentral:rRNA from 1 species
GAUGAACGCUGGCGGCGUGCCUAAUACAUGCAAGUCGAGCGAACGGACGAGAAGCUUGCUUCUCUGAUGUUAGCGGCGGACGGGUGAGUAACACGUGGAUAACCUACCUAUAAGACUGGGAUAACUUCGGGAAACCGGAGCUAAUACCGGAUAAUAUUUUGAACCGCAUGGUUCAAAAGUGAAAGACGGUCUUGCUGUCACUUAUAGAUGGAUCCGCGCUGCAUUAGCUAGUUGGUAAGGUAACGGCUUACCAAGGCAACGAUGCAUAGCUGACCUGAGAGGGUGAUCGGCCACACUGGAACUGAGACACGGUCCAGACUCCUACGGGAGGCAGCAGUAGGGAAUCUUCCGCAAUGGGCGAAAGCCUGACGGAGCAACGCCGCGUGAGUGAUGAAGGUCUUCGGAUCGUAAAACUCUGUUAUUAGGGAAGAACAUAUGUGUAAGUAACUGUGCACAUCUUGACGGUACCUAAUCAGAAAGCCGCGGCUAACUACGUG